rnacentral:tRNA from 1 species
GGGAAUGUGGCUUAGUGGUAGAGUGCUUGCCUAGUAUGCAUGAAUUCCUGGGUUCAAUUCCUCAGUACCA